GACGAACGCUGGCGGCGUGCCUAAUACAUGCAAGUCGGACGCAGUUGCGAACGGGUGAGUAACGCGUAGGUAACUACCUAUUAGAGGGGGGUAACUAGUGGCAACGAUAGCAAAUACCGCAUACUAGUAGAUGGCCCUGCGUUGUAUUAGCUAGUAGGUAGGGUAAUGGCCUCUCUAGGCACCGAUACAUAGCCGACCUUGGGGGGUGAGCGGCCACACAUGGACUGUGGAACCGCCCAGACUCCUAAGGGAGGCAUGAGUAGGGAAACUUCGGCAAUGGGGGGAACCCUGACCGAGCAACGCCGCGGGAUAGAAGAAGGUUUUCGGGUCGUAAAGCUCUGUUGUGAAGGAAGCGGUACUUAACCAGAAAGGGACGGCUAACUACGUGCCAGCAGCCGCGGUAAUAC
rnacentral:rRNA from 1 species